GUCCACGCCGUAAACGAUGAGAACUAGAUGUCGGGAGGGUUUAGCCUCUCGGUGUCGCAGCUAACGCGUUAAGUUCUCCGCCUGGGGAGUACGCCGGCAACGGUAAACUCAAAGGAAUUGACGGGACCCGCACAAGCGGUGGAGCAUGUGGUUUAAUUCGAUGCAACGCGAAGAACCUUACCUGCCCUUGACAUUGACAGAAUCCUGUAGAGAUACGGGAGUGCUUCGGCCUGGAAAACAGGUGCUGCAUGGCUGUCGU
rnacentral:rRNA from 1 species